UACGUAGGGUGCAAGCGUUGUCCGGAAUUAUUGGGCGUAAAGAGCUCGUAGGUGGUUUGUCGCGUUGUUCGUGAAAUGCCACAGCUUAACUGUGGGCGUGCGGGCGAUACGGGCAGACUGGAGUACUGCAGGGGAGACUGGAAUUCCUGGUGUAGCGGUGAAAUGCGCAGAUAUCAGGAGGAACACCGGUGGCGAAGGCGGGUCUCUGGGCAUUACCUGACGGCUGAGGAGCGAAAGUGUGGGGAGCGAACAGG
rnacentral:rRNA from 1 species